rnacentral:lncRNA from 1 species
AGCAAGGAUUGUGAAAUGUGAUAGACAUCAUUAUCCAAAGUACAUGUAUGAAGACAUGAAUUGGUGUCAACAUACUUUAUAUACAACCAGAGAUAUGAAAAAUUGUGCUGUGUAUGAGUAAUAAGAAUUUUAAUGCAUUCUGCUGUCAUUUAUUAUUUUAAAAAAUCAAUUUAAAAAAAAAAAAAAAGAUCUGCUUUUAGGGAGAUGGGGGGGCACUUCUCAAAACUUGGAACUGAGCAAAAGGACUCAAGCACAAAGUCCAGAGAGAAAUUGCCAUUGGGUAACACUUCAACUUGGGAAAGGACUGUUUUGUACAUGAUGAUCUGUUCCUGAAGGUCUGGAGAGCAUGGAAGGAAGUGGAAGAACGCACAGGGCAGACUGGGCCUUCCACUUCUCUUCCUGACAUCUCCAGAAUGUCUGCAAAGCUUUCCCCUUUCUUUGGUUAGGGCUCCUGGCCACUGUUUCUCUUUUCUAACUAGCCAAAGUCCUGCUCUGACCAGCAGCCAACUGAGCAUGUCCAUCUCAUUCUAUUAUGGACAGAAUUGUGUCCACCCAAAUUCAUAUGUUAAAUCUUCAAUCCCCCCGAGUGUACACAGAGACAGAGCCUUUAAGAAAGUAAUUAAGGUUAAAUGAGAUCAUAAGAGUAGAGCCCUGAUCCAAUAGAAUUGUCAUCCUUAUAAGGAAAAGAACAAAUGCCAGAGCACUGUGCCUGCCCAGUCCCCCCACCCUACACCCAGCUCAAAGAAAUGGCCCUGUGAGGAUGAAAAGAGAGUAGGUGAGGAGGGGAGUGAUGGGAAGAGGCUAAUCAAUAGGAACAAAGUUAUAGUUAGAUAAGAGUAAGGAGUUCUGAUUUUGCUAUUGCACAGUAGGAUGACUAUAACUAAAAAUAAAGUACUGUACAUUUCAAAAAGCUAGAAGAAAGAUUUGAAUGUUUUUACUAUAAAGAACUGAUAAAUAUUUGAGGAAUUAUAUGUUUAACCUGAUUUAACUAUUAUGCAAUGUAU